rnacentral:lncRNA from 1 species
UAAUUCAAUAUUCGAUACCCAUAGACAAAACAAAACUAAAAGAUGGGAGGCUGCUGUUGCUCCGAAGACGAACCGACAGACAUGAAGGGGAUUAUACUGGUUAUAGUCCUUGCUCUAGUGCUAAUGGCGGCCUGCCUUCCGCAGCCACGUCCGCGAGCGUAUUUGGUAUACCGGUGCUAGUGAAUCUUUGUUCUUCAAGUUCCAUCCAUGAUUUUUAAUGAAGUUGAUCAUCGUACUGAUGUGAUUUUAGCUUUCCAUUGGUUUUUCUUGUUUGUUUGUGGAUUAAGGAAAUGGAUGAACAGGUGAGGAAAUAAAAUUUCAGAAGUUUUAAAUUCUUCAUGGCUUGUUUCUUCCAUAGGACUGUUACACCUUCUAAGCAUUACGAUUUGUACAAUUAUUAUAUUAAAUUUUAAUUUCUAUA